GGUCAAUGCCGCUGCCCUUACAAUGCAAGUCGAACGGCAGCACGGAGCUUGCUCUGGUGGCGAGUGGCGAGCGGGUGAGUAAUAUAUCGGAACGUACCCUAGAGUGGGGGAUAACGUAGCGAAAGUUACGCUAAUACCGCAUACGAUCUAAGGAUGAAAGUGGGGGAUCGCAGGACCUCAUGCUCGUGGAGCGGCCGAUAUCUGAUUAGCUAGUUGGUAGGGUAAAAGCCUACCAAGGCAUCGAUCAGUAGCUGGUCUGAGAGGACGACCAGCCACACUGGAACUGAGACACGGUCCAGACUCCUACGGGAGGCAGCAGUGGGGAAUUUUGGACAAUGGGCGAAAGCCUGAUCCAGCAAUGCCGCGUGAGUGAAGAAGGCCUUCGGGUUGUAAAGCUCUUUUGUCAGGGAAGAAACGGUGAGAGCUAAUAUCUUUUGCUAAUGACGGUACCUGAAGAAUAAGCACCGGCUAACUACGUGCCAGCAGCCGCGGUAAUACGUAGGGUGCAAGCGUUAAUCGGAAUUACUGGGCGUAAAGCGUGCGCAGGCGGUUUUGUAAGUCUGAUGUGAAAUCCCCGGGCUCAACCUGGGAAUUGCAUUGGAGACUGCAAGGCUAGAAUCUGGCAGAGGGGGGUAGAAUUCCACGUGUAGCAGUGAAAUGCGUAGAUAUGUGGAGGAACACCGAUGGCGAAGGCAGCCCCCUGGGUCAAGAUUGACGCUCAUGCACGAAAGCGUGGGGAGCAAACAGGAUUAGAUACCCUGGUAGUCCACGCCCUAAACGAUGUCUACUAGUUGUCGGGUCUUAAUUGACUUGGUAACGCAGCUAACGCGUGAAGUAGACCGCCUGGGGAGUACGGUCGCAAGAUUAAAACUCAAAGGAAUUGACGGGGACCCGCACAAGCGGUGGAUGAUGUGGAUUAAUUCGAUGCAACGCGAAAAACCUUA
rnacentral:rRNA from 1 species